AGUUAACUGAACCUUCGGGGAACGUUAACGGCGUCGAGCGGCGGACGGGUGAGUAAUGCCUAGGAAAUUGCCCUGAUGUGGGGGAUAACCAUUGGAAACGAUGGCUAAUACCGCAUAAUCUCUUCGGAGCAAAGAGGGGGACCUUCGGGCCUCUCGCGUCAGGAUAUGCCUAGGUGGGAUUAGCUAGUUGGUGAGGUAAUGGCUCACCAAGGCGACGAUCCCUAGCUGGUCUGAGAGGAUGAUCAGCCACAUUGGAACUGAGACACGGUCCAGACUCCUACGGGAGGCAGCAGUGGGGAAUAUUGCACAAUGGGCGCAAGCCUGAUGCAGCCAUGCCGCGUGUAUGAAGAAGGCCUUCGGGUUGUAAAGUACUUUCAGCAGUGAGGAAGGUUCAUACGUUAAUAGCGUAUGGAUUUGACGUUAGCUGCAGAAGAAGCACCGGCUAACUCCGUGCCAGCAGCCGCGGUAAUACGGAGGGUGCGAGCGUUAAUCGGAAUUACUGGGCGUAAAGCGCAUGCAGGUGGUUUGUUAAGUCAGAUGUGAAAGCCCGGGGCUCAACCUCGGAAUUGCAUUUGAAACUGGCAGACUAGAGUACUGUAGAGGGGGGUAGAAUUUCAGGUGUAGCGGUGAAAUGCGUAGAGAUCUGAAGGAAUACCGGUGGCG
rnacentral:rRNA from 1 species